rnacentral:rRNA from 1 species
UACGGAGGGUGCAAGCGUUAUCCGGAUUCACUGGGUUUAAAGGGUGCGUAGGUGGGCAGGUAAGUCAGUGGUGAAAUCCUGUAGCUUAACUACAGAACUGCCAUUGACACUAUUUGUCUUGAAUACCCUGGAGGUGAGCGGAAUAUGUCAUGUAGCGGUGAAAUGCUUAGAUAUGACAUAGAACAUCUAUUGCGAAGGCAGCUCACUACGGGAAUAUUGACGCUGAGGCACGAAAGCGUGGGGAUCAAACAGG